rnacentral:lncRNA from 13 species
AUGACUGACCACACACUCCAGCACAGUAGGUGGCAGCAUGCACCUUUAACGUUUGUUUGUAAACCGUCAUUAUAUCAUAGAAGAAGAAGACACUUGACUGGUGAGAAAAUUGUAUUUUUUUAUACGGCCGGCCGAGAGAGCUAUGGUGGAGUGUUUCAAGAGAGUACUUUCAGGUCCAAACUGCUGCAGAAGACCCUCGAUUUACCACCACCAGCUGUCCUGCCAGAUACCACAACUCCAAGUCCUCAAGUUUUCCAGGGAGAUGCAGUUCUCCCCCUAUAUGAGAACAGUGUGCGCCAUAAUCAAGACAAUACAGACGGGUCUCUUAUCGGAUCACCCCGGAGUGGAUUCUGAGGGGCUGAACAUCUAGGUCGAGGUCAACGAUGGGUACUCCCAGCCUCUGUGGUGGCAGCAAUUCCAUCUAACUACCCUGACCCCAACAGCAGCUACAUUUGGAUUCCAGGAAGUUGAGGAGGCUCAUAGCGUCUUAUACGAAAAACAUUUUCAAGAAAUAACAUUGUAGUUGUAGAGGAACAUUGUAGAGGAACCAUCUUGUAGGUUUUCACCCCAACAGGUGAGCUUGAUCAGGAUUGGGUUGGAUUGAGAACCUACAGGACGGUAGCUCUCUGGGCACAAGCUUUGAGAACCAUGGGGUUAUGUAAAACAUAUGGCACCUACUACCACACCCCGGUCAAAGGCACUUCAAUCUUUUGACUUGCCCAUUCAGUCUCUGAAUGGCACACAUACACAAACCAUGUCUCAAUUGUCUCAAGGCUUAAAAUCCUUCUUUAACCUCUUUCCUCCCCUUCAUCUGCACUGGUUGGAGUGGAUUUAACAGGUGACAUCACUAAGGGAUCAUAGCUUUCACCUGGAUUCACCUGGUCAGUCUAUGUCAUGGAAAGAGCAAAUGUUCUUUAUGUUUUGUAUACUCAGUGUAAUUUACCUUCCUAUUCUCCCAUACCGUGCAGACACCACGAGUGCACCCAAUUUUGAGUGGAACAUGUGGUUGCCAAGAGAAACGUGACUCCAAUCUUGCAUUUGCACAUUUUCUGUUCUAGUGUUAUCGACCCCUCCAGUCUUCAGUUCCACUAACUUGACAAGCAGACACAGACUAUACUCUAUAUUUUCCCACAAAUCUCAAAUAAAGUGUCUCUACUUCGCACUUUUGACAUGCUAACCUUCUAAGUGUUAACUUUUGGGAGAGGACUUACCAAAUACUGUAAAAUUAAAUGCAUAUGUAAAUGUUUAAAUGUAUAUGUUAAUGUAAAUGUUUGGCCAGUGCAACCUGAGAGGAGCAACCAUCAGCAAAUCUGAGACAGGAUUCAUCUCCCUCUCUCUCCUACUGUACACUCUUCUCUCUCAGUCUCUUCUCUGCCUGGAGUAGUACUAUUGGUGCCCAGUUUCUCUGUCCUUACUCCUCAUUCUAUUUCAUGCCUCGUCCUCCUCUCUCUCAGCAAUCAUCCAUCACCACAGAGCCCUCCCCUAGAUGCCCUCCCACCCUCUAAACUCUGCAGCCAGGCAGACCUGACUGUUGCUAGUCUCCAGCACUUACAGACACACACUCCUCUUCUCUCCUCCGUGACUCAUCACUUCAUCAUUUGUUAUUCAGAAGACUUCCAAGACUGCCUCACAUUGAGACAUAUGGGGACAAUACAGCAACACUAAUGAACUAUAUGCUACAAUACAAUCAGUAUGAUGUAAUGCCACUUGUCAAGAGAUUUAAUGAACAUUCACGACAACACGUAACUAAUGGAUUUGCAAUAUAAUGACGCACGCAGCAGUGUUUAAUCUGAUGGUGGUGGCAUAUUUGCUAACUAAAUUAAAUCACUAUGUGAAAUAUUCUUGAAUCAUUCAAAUUGUAAUUUUUUAACCUUUAUUUAACUAGGCAAGUCAGUUAAGAACAAAUUCUUAUUUUUCAAUGACGGCCUAGGAACAGUGGGUUAACUGCCUUGUUCAGGGGCAGAACGACAGAUUUUUACCUUAUCAGCUCGGGGAUUCAAUCUUGCAACCUUUCGGUUACGGGCCAAACACUCUAACCACUAGGCUACCUGCCGCCCCUACCUGCCGCCCCUACCUGCCGCCCCUACCUGCCGCCCCUACCUGCCGCCCCUACCUGCCACCCCUACCUGCCACCCCUACCUGCCACCCCUACCUGCCACCCCUACCUG